AUGAACGCUGGCGGCGUGCCUAAUACAUGCAAGUCGCGCGAACAGAUCAGGAGCUUGCUCCUUUGACGUUAGCGGCGGACGGGUGAGUAACACGUGGAUAACCUACCUAUAAGACUGGGAUAACUUCGGGAAACCGGAGCUAAUACCGGAUAACAUAUUGAACCGCAUGGUUCAAUAGUGAAAGGCGGCUUUGCUGUCACUUAUAGAUGGAUCCGCGCCGUAUUAGCUAGUUGGUAAGGUAACGGCUUACCAAGGCAACGAUACGUAGCCGACCUGAGAGGGUGAUCGGCCACACUGGAACUGAGACACGGUCCAGACUCCUACGGGAGGCAGCAGUAGGGAAUCUUCCGCAAUGGGCGAAAGCCUGACGGAGCAACGCCGCGUGAGUGAUGAAGGUCUUCGGAUCGUAAAACUCUGUUAUCAGGGAAGAACAAAUGUGUAAGUAACUGUGCACAUCUUGACGGUACCUGAUCAGAAAGCCACGGCUAACUACGUG
rnacentral:rRNA from 1 species